GCCUGCUUAGCAUAGUGGCUAAUGCGUUGCACUUGUAUCACUUCGACGAUAUGCAAAGAUCACAGGUUCGAUUCCUGUAGUAGGCA